rnacentral:lncRNA from 1 species
GCAAGUGGUGCGCUGGCUGCAGCUGUGGCAACCCCAGAUCCCGUCCUCCCGCCUCGCACCCAUCAGCGCGGACCCCGGGGGCGACGCAGUGGCGAUGUCGGGCUGUGGGCCCAGCGGUGGCACUAGGCGGAGAAGCACCACUCAACCCCAUCCCUGGGCUGCAGAGGGCCCAGCGCGGGGGGCUCCGAGCGUCGGGAGCCUGUGGAAGAGAAGAGCGCGCGGGCGACAGUUAAACAGGCCCUGGGGCAGGGCGCGCCUCGCGCUCCAGGGAGCCCCGCCCUCCCGCGGCACCUCCGCAGCAACCGCCGCCUGCACUGGGCGCGCGAGAGCUGCUAGGGCGGUUUCUCUGCCUCGGGCCUGUUGGGCAGGGCCGGCUAAGGUGCGCGUGCUCGCUGGUUCUAACCCUUCUGUUGGGCGUUUCUGCUGAGAGGCGGGAGGCGCUGAGAGUCUGUGCGAAGGUCCGUGGACAGACUGCUUUGCCUGUUGUUGCUCUUCGGAGGCGGCGAUCCCCGAAGGCGAGCUGAAAUACGGCUGCAGGCUACAAUUUGCAGCCGACCAUUAUGGAUGACAAGGAGCCGAAGAGGUGGCCCACCCUCAGGGACCGCUUGUGCUCGGAUGGCUUCUUAUUUCCCCAAUACCCCAUUAAACCGUAUCAUCUGAAGGGGAUCCACAGAGCUGUCUUCUAUCGUGAUCUGGAGGAACUGAAGUUCGUUCUGCUCACGCGUUAUGACAUCAAUAAGAGAGACAGGAAGGAAAGGACCGCCCUACAUUUGGCCUGUGCCACUGGCCAACCGGAAAUGGUACAUCUCCUGGUGUCCAGAAGAUGUGAGCUUAACCUCUGCGACCGUGAAGACAGGACACCUCUGAUCAAGGCUGUACAACUGAGGCAGGAGGCUUGUGCAACUCUUCUGCUGCAAAAUGGCGCCGAUCCAAAUAUUACGGAUGUCUUUGGAAGGACUGCUCUGCACUACGCUGUGUAUAAUGAAGAUACAUCCAUGAUAGAAAAACUUCUUUCAUAUGGUGCAAAUAUUGAAGAAUGCAGCGAGGAUGAAUAUCCGCCACUGUUCCUUGCUGUGAGUCAAAG